rnacentral:rRNA from 1 species
GGCGAAGGGGGCUAGCGUUGUUCGGAAUUACUGGGCGUAAAGCGCGUGUAGGCGGUUGUCCAAGUUGGAUGUGAAAGCCUUGAGCUCAACUCAAGAAAUGCAUUCAGGACUGGAUGACUAGAGGACCGGAGAGGAUAGUGGAAUUCCCAGUGUAGUGGUGAAAUACGUAGAGAUUGGGAAGAACACCAGUGGCGAAGGCGGCUAUCUGGACGGUUUCUGACGCUAAGACGCGAAAGCGUGGGGAGCAAACAGG